AACACUGUUAACCUGCGGUACCUGCGGAGGGAUCAUUACCGAGACCGGGGUCCCUCGGGGCCCCAUCUCCCCCAAGUUCCGGGGUUCAUCUGCCCUGUUCCGCAGGGUGGGUGUCCCCAAAACGUCCGAUGUCCAUGACCCCUUUCAGUCCGAGGCCCCAGGCGCUCACGGAGCGUAAAGCACCAAAAAACUUUUAGCAACGGAUCU
rnacentral:misc_RNA from 1 species